rnacentral:tRNA from 1 species
CACUAUGAAGCUAAGAGCA